rnacentral:rRNA from 1 species
AUUGAACGCUGGCGGCAUGCCUUACACAUGCAAGUCGAACGGCAGCACGGGAGCAAUCCUGGUGGCGAGUGGCGAACGGGUGAGUAAUAUAUCGGAACGUGCCCAGUCGUGGGGAUAACGUAGCGAAAGCUACGCUAAUACCGCAUACGAUCUACGGAUGAAAGCGGGGGAUCGCAAGACCUCGCGCGAUUGGAGCGGCCGAUAUCAGAUUAGGUAGUUGGUGAGGUAAAGGCUCACCAAGCCGACGAUCUGUAGCUGGUCUGAGAGGACGACCAGCCACACUGGGACUGAGACACGGCCCAGACUCCUACGGGAGGCAGCAGUGGGGAAUUUUGGGACAAUGGGCGCAAGCCUGAUCCAGCAAUGCCGCGUGCAGGAUGAAGGCC